ACAGGUGACCAAUUAAAUCAUCACACCCAGGGGCCUGGGGAGCCCAGCUGCUCACAGGCCAGCCCGUUAACCAGUCGUGGGGACGGAGAGCUCCGCAUUAAAACUAAUGGAGAGAGGAGAAUGGCUCGCCACUGGACCCAGCCUGGCCUUUCCCCAAUUACAACCACACAGAGCCAGGGAGGGGGGAGGGGGGUAGAGGAAGGAAGAGGUGGAGAGACAGAGACAGAAAGCAAGAAACAGAAAACAGAGAAACCAGAGAAAGAGAGAAAGAGAGAGGGAGAGAGAGAGAGAGAGCUCAUGAUUAUGAUCUGCUAAACUUUCAUUGAAUUUUGUUGUUUUUUAGUUACGUACAAUGAAAAGUAAUAUCAUAAAUUAAAUCUAAAAAACUCAGGAACAACUUGAAUACCUUUAACUUUAAAGGGGACCGUACCAGCCAAACAAAAAAAAGGAAAAAACAUAGCUAGCUAGCUAACCAACUGCCACAGAACUGUCAAUUGCCACAACAGGAGAAGUGGGAUAAAAUGCAGAAAACCACAAUAAAAGGACAUCUCAAAAACAAAAAAGAGACAGGAGGACAGGCAGGAACAAAAUAAACUGGAUAAAGGAAAUAGGAAGGUAGGUUUCUUUAUAAUUAUAAUCUUUAUAAUCUGACUGGUCAAGUAGCUAAUCCAGCUAGCCUCCAGUUCUAUGAGUGAAUAAGCAACAGACAUUUUUGACAGUUGAAAAUGGAUACAUUUGUACAGCAGAAUAGUGGGCGGAGCUUGUGUAACCUGGCAAUCACCUACCCUGAAGAAGUCAGCAGUGAAACAGGGGAAAAAAGUAGAAAGCUAGGCUACGGAGAGAGACUCCAGAACAGAGACUGUAACACUGAGAGCAGAUUUUACUGUGCUACAUGAGAGAGAGGUCAAAUCAGCCCUGCUGUUCUACACAGAGUACCCAGAAGCCUGGCAUUCUGCUCUCCGUGCAGAAGAUAGAAACUUAAAAAUGGGCGGCAAUAAAACAACGAGACAGUCAUACCUAGACACCACCCCCAAAUUUAUAAUUAAUAUCUACAACAACGGCACUAUCAUGAUCAGAGGAUCUGACAGUAGAUUACAGCAGUUUGAAAAUAACUUUCAGAGACUAAAACAUGUAGUUGAAAAUAACAGUUUCGGCCUCCCCUACACACACAGUGCCCAGCACUGCUCAGCCAACCUCCUCCAGCACACUGACAGCCCACAGCCCUGCCACACCCAGAACACCUGUGUCUGUAUAACGCAUCCGGGACUGCCUAUCCCUCCUAGAGGUAGAAUUAAUAGAAAUGAGAGAAAACAAACUCUCAGAGGCUGACAGUAUUCAGAGACUCACAACUGAAUUUACACAAUUUAAAGAGGAAACCUGUACAAAAAUUGGCCAACUAGGAGAAAACAUAACUGAUCACCGUAAGGAAAAUGAGGAGCAGAACUGAGUGAAGUAAAAGAGGCACUGGAGCAGAGAGGCACACAGAACCACGGUCUCAGAGAUCAGAUGCUCAGUGUGAGAGCAGCUCACCCCUCAGACUCACUGCAGACCACAGACUGUUUAUCACAGCCUGAGAGCAGCCAGGCAGGGCUAUGGCCCAGCCCAGGGCCACACUCAGCCCCUACCCGGCCCGGCCCACGGCCUGCUGCUGAGAACCAGCCACCGCCACCACAACAGCCCCCUAAAACUGCCAUGCUCGUCAACUCUAACGGCAAGUGAGAGACGGGGAACCACCAAGUGUUCAGAAGGUGGCUUUGAAGCUUUCGUUUCUAAAGAAUCCCUAAAAAAAGCUUUCAAGACAGGAUAUUCGGUUAAGCCACCGCACGGACUCCACCACGGCCUCGAAAGGUCGCAGGUUUGAUUCCCCGAAACUCUGGCACUUCCGCCUGUGAACACUUGUUUGCCAGUCGCAAUAGCAGGGAGACACAUGACUGUUAGUCCAGGACCCCGCCCCACUCUUAAGGAGGCCACGAAAUGCCUGCUAUCCCAAAACGUGGGACGUUUACUGUCAUCUUCCUUUCGGUAAAGUACCACAUGGCACACAGUUCUGCUCUCCAUACAGGAUUUCCCAAAAUGCAUCUGCAAGCUAUUAGCCAGUUUAGUUUGGUCUGCAGAUCCAAUGAUUCAAUUUCUGUGAUGUUUCAUCAAAAUUAUAAACAACACCAUCCUCCAUUUUACAUUUUGAUCUAGGAUUGUGCCUCCAUAUUUCUGAAUAGUGAAUAAGCAUGCCUCUGCUUCUACACUUCAAACAUACAAAUGAAUAUUCAAAUGAAACUGGACUGCCUUGUGUAAAACCGGACAGACAGCCACCAAAGAUUUGCAAGACCAAAAUGAAAUCUUUCCUAAGAUAUGGCUACUUCAGGGGUCAACUGGUGCUGUACAAUUCAACCCUAAAUUUCACAGCCAACUCAUAACCACAAAGCUCAAGGGAAGUGGGUUAAUUGUGCAACCAACGGCAGUAACUGACCAAUUAAGUGCUGAGUGACAAUGGAAAACCAGCUGAGAAGACUCUGUGGCUCUCCAGAGCCAGGGCUGGUUACCUGUGAGCUGCGUGGAAGUAAAGGUGAUUGAAAAGAAAGGUGGGGGCACCUGUGGGCAGGAGAGCUGAGAGAUGCACUGCAGGUGCCCGCUCUGGCUGCAUGCCAUCUGUCACUGGCCAGGUGCGCACACCGCUACACCUGAGACAGUCACAUGACCUGCCCUGAGCCAAUGACAUCAUCAGUGUCCAAAAAUACCAGCCGCAUUUGCUUGGAGAAACUACGUAAGAGUAUGUGACUACAUACGAGUGUGUGUGUGUGUGUGUG